rnacentral:rRNA from 1 species
GGGUGAGUAAAAGGUAGGAAUCUACCCCUUGGACGGAGAUAGCUACUGGAAACGGUAGGUAAACUUCGAUAAGCCCGAGAGGGGAAAGUGGUGAGACAGCCGAGGGAUGAGCCUACUCUCCAUCAGGUAGUUGGUGAGAUAAAAGCUUACCAAGCCGAUGACGGAUAACCGGUGUGAGAGCAUGAACGGUCACAAGGGCACUGAGAGACGGGCCCUACUCCUACGGGAGGCAGCAGUGGGGAAUCUUGGACAAUGGGCGAAAGCCUGAUCCAGCGACGCCGCGUGGAGGAAGAAGUCCUUCGGGAUGUAAACUUCUGAACUAGCCGAAUAAAAGGCCUGUGGACACACAGGAGAAGAAAGUAGGCUAGGAAAAGUCCCGGCUAACUACGUGCCAGCAGCCGCGGUAAGACGUAGGGGGCAAGCGUUACCCGGAAUUACUGGGCGUAAAGGGGGCGUAGGCGGUAAAAGAAGUCAUCUGUGAAAACCUAUUGCUCAACGAUAGGCUAGCGGAUGAAACUGAAUUACUUGAGGGCACCAGAGGUAGACGGAAUUACCCGAGUAGGGGUGAAAUCCGCAGAUACGGGUAGGAACGCCGGUGGAGAAGUCGGUCUACUGGGGUGCACCAGACGCUGAGGCCCGAAAGCUAGGGGAGCAAACCGGAUUAGAUACCCGGGUAGUCCUAGCCGUAAACGAUGCUCACUAGGUGUAGGGAGUGAUAAACUCUCUGUGCUGAAGCGAACGCGCUAAGUGAGCCGCCUGGGGAGUACGUCCGCAAGGAUGAAACUCAAAGGAA